rnacentral:tRNA from 1 species
GCUAGAGUAGUUUAAUAAAAAUAAUAGUUUUGUAAUCUGUAGAUGAGAGAUCUUUUAGCA